rnacentral:sRNA from 1 species
AGUUUGCACUCAUCGGGAAGGGUGAGAACCUUCGACUAAGGUCUCGAUUCGAGCGAAAGCGAGAGAACGUUGCCACAGGCAACGGCCCGAAGGGUGAGGAGCGAAGCGACGAAUAAUCCUUCCCCACCACCA